AUUGAACGCUGGCGGCAGGCCUAACACAUGCAAGUCGGGCUAGCGGCGGACGGGUGAGUAAUGUAUGGGGAACUGCCUGAUGGAGGGGGAUAACUACUGGAAACGGUAGCUAAUACCGCAUACCAUCAGAUGACCCCAUAUGGGAUUAGCUUGUAGGUGAGGUAACGGCUCACCUAGGCGACGAUCCCUAGCUGGUAUGAGAGGAUGAUCAGCCACACUGGGACGGAGACACGGCCCAGACUCCUACGGGAGGCAGCAGUGGGGAAUAUUGCACAAUGGGCGCAAGCCUGAUACAGCCAUGCCGCGUGUAUGAAGAAGGCCUUCGGGUUGUAAAGUACUUUCAGUCGGGAGGCGUUACCGACAGAAGAAGCACCGGCUAACUCCGUGCCAGCCGCCGCGGUAAUUC
rnacentral:rRNA from 1 species